rnacentral:rRNA from 1 species
UCGCAUGAUAUUUUUAUUAAAGAAUUUCGGUUAUCGAUGGGGAUGCGUUCCAUUAGUUUGUUGGCGGGGUAACGGCCCACCAAGACAACGAUGGAUAGGGGUUCUGAGAGGAAGGUCCCCCACAUUGGAACUGAGACACGGUCCAAACUCCUACGGGAGGCAGCAGUGAGGAAUAUUGGUCAAUGGGCGAGAGCCUGAACCAGCCAAGUAGCGUGAAGGAUGAAGGCUCUAUGGGUCGUAAACUUCUUUUAUAUGGGAAUAAAGUAUUCCACGUGUGGAAUUUUGUAUGUACCAUAUGAAUAAGGAUCGGCUAACUCCGUGCCAGCAGCCGCGGUAAUACGGAGGAUCCGAGCGUUAUCCGGAUUUAUUGGGUUUAAAGGGAGCGUAGGUGGAUUGUUAAGUCAGUUGUGAAAGUUUGCGGCUCAACCGUAAAAUUGCAGUUGAAACUGGCAGUCUUGAGUACAGUAGAGGUGGGCGGAAUUCGUGGUGUAGCGGUGAAAUGCUUAGAUAUCACGAAGAACUCCGAUUGCGAAGGCAGCUCACUAGACUGUCACUGACACU